UGGGGAAUUUUGGACAAUGAGGGAAACCCUGAUCCAGCCAUCCCGCGUGUGCGAUGAAGGCCUUCGGGUUGUAAAGCACUUUUGGCAGGAAAGAAACGUCGCGGGUUAAUACCCCGCGAAACUGACGGUACCUGCAGAAUAAGCACCGGCUAACUACGUGCCAGCAGCCGCGGUAAUACGUAGGGUGCAAGCGUUAAUCGGAAUUACUGGGCGUAAAGCGUGCGCAGGCGGUUCGGAAAGAAAGAUGUGAAAUCCCAGAGCUUAACUUUGGAACUGCAUUUUUUAACUACCGGGCUAGAGUGUGUCAGAGGGAGGUGGAAUUCCGCGUGUAGCAGUGAAAUGCGUAGAUAUGCGGAGGAACACCGAUGGCGAAGGCAGCCUCCUGGGAUAACACUGACGCUCAUGCACGAAAGCGUGGGGAGCAAACAGGAUUAGAUACCCUGGUAGUCCACGCCCUAAACGAUGUCAACUAGCUGUUGGGGGCCUUCGGGCCUUGGUAGCGCAGCUAACGCGUGAAGUUGACCGCCUGGGGAGUACGGUCGCAAGAUUAAAACUCAAAUGAAUUGACGGGGUCGAU
rnacentral:rRNA from 1 species